GACGAACGCUGGCGGCGUGCUUAACACAUGCAAGUCGAACGGAAAGGCCUGCUUUCCCUUGUGGAUUGCGGGUACUCGCGUGGCGAACGGGUGAGUAACACGUGAGUGAUCUGCCCCCAACUUUGGUAUAAGCCUGGGAAACUGGGUCUAAUUACCGAUAGGACUGCAGGGUGGUGCGUGUGGUGGAAGACGAUUUUCUAGUGGUUGGGGAUGAGCGCGCGGCCUAUGAGGUUGUUGGUGGGGUAAUGGCCUACCAGGGCGGCGACGGGUAGCCGGCCGGGGGUGGCGGACCGGCACAUGUGGACUGAGACACGGGCCAGGAGCCUACGGGAGGCAUCAGUGGGGAAUAAUGAACAGGGGGCGGAAGCCUGAGGCAGCGACGCUGAGUGGGGGAUGACGGGCGUCGGGUGGUAGCCUCCGUUCGACCGCGAGGAAGCCACCUGGAUGGAAGGGUGGUGACGGUAGUGGGAGAAGAAGCACCGGCUAACUACGUG
rnacentral:rRNA from 1 species